rnacentral:rRNA from 1 species
UACGGGGGGGCAAGCGUUGUUCGGAAUUACUGGGCGUAAAGGCUCGUAGGUGGCCAACUAAGUCAGACGUGAAAUCCCUCGGCUUAACCGAGGAACUGCGUCCGAUACUGAAAGGCUUGAAUCCGGGAGAGGGAUGUGGAAUUCCAGGUGUAGCGGUGAAAUGCGCAGAUAUCGGGAGGAACACCUAUGGCGAAGGCAGCUCGCUGGGACGUUACUGACGCUGAGACGCGAAAGCGUGGGGAGCAAACAGG